UACAGAGGGGGCAAGCGUUGUUCGGAAUUACUGGGCGUAAAGGGCGCGUAGGCGGCCUGUUAAGUCGAACGUGAAAUCCCUGGGCUCAACCCAGGAACUGCGUCCGAUACUGGCAGGCUUGAAUUCGGGAGAGGGAUGCGGAAUUCCAGGUGUAGCGGUGAAAUGCGUAGAUAUCUGGAGGAACACCGGUGGCGAAGGCGGCAUCCUGGACCGGCAUUGACGCUGAGGCGCGAAAGCUAGGGGAGCAAACGGG
rnacentral:rRNA from 1 species